AAGGAGAACCCAGGGCCCCUGACUUCAGCCCGGGCUGCCUGAUCUCCUGCAGGUUGCCUGGUAACCAGGGCAUAGCCCACUUUAGAAACCUAAGGCUUCAAGGGGGAGAGAAUGGAUCAGAAGAGGAGAGGAUCCUGGGCCCACAUGUUCACCAUUCAGUCACUGUGCAGAAACAUACUGAGUGAUUCUUGUCAGGCCCUGGGAACCAGAGAAGAAAAGGAUCAGUGUCUUUCAGAACUGUGCUGCCCAAUAUGGUGGACACACAUUCAAAUGAAAUUAAAUUGGAAAAAA
rnacentral:lncRNA from 1 species